UACAGAGGUGCCGAGCGUUAGGCGGAAUCACUGGGCUUAAAGCGUGUGUAGGCGGACCCGUCAGUGUCUUGUGAAAUCCCACGGCUCAACCGUGGAACGGCUGGGCAUACUGCGGGUCUUGAGACACCUAGGGCGAGCGGAACAGCGGUGGAGCGGUGAAAUGCGUAGAUAUCGCCUGGAACGCCGACGGUGAAACGCUCG
rnacentral:rRNA from 1 species